GACGAACGCUGGCGGCGUGCCUAAUACAUGCAAGUCGAACGCAGUGGGGACGGGUGAGUAACACGUGGGUAACCUCCCAUCAGAGGGGAUAACACUUGGAAACAGGUGCUAAACCGAUACUGAUGGAUGGAACCGCGGGUCAUUGGCUAGUUGGUGAGGUAACGGCUCACCAAGGCCACGAUGCAUAGCCGCCCGGCGAGGGUGAUCAGCCACCCGUGGACGGAGACACGGCCCAGACUCCUACGGGAGGCAGCAGUAGGGAAUCUUCGGCAAUGGACGAAAGUCUGACCGAGCAACGCCGCGUGAGUGAAGAAGGUUUUCGGAUCGUAAACCUCUGUUGUUAGAGAAGCGGUAUCUAACCAGAAAGCCACGGCUAACUACGUGCCAGCAGCCGCGGUAAUUC
rnacentral:rRNA from 1 species